ensembl:lncRNA
AGAUGCUGGGAUGGCGCAAUGCGUGGGGUCAGAGAGCCCCCCGGACUGCCCUCUGCACUUUCAGUGUCGCACUUGUGAACGCCCCGCCGGAGUGACGCUCCCGCGGCCCCGUCGGAAGACAGAGACAAGUGGAGACGCGACGGCCAAACAGCCGUGUGGCAACGAAAAAAUAUCCUGUUUUCAAAAGAAGCCCGCUUAGAAAUCAACAGCCGCAGUAACCCAAUCAGCCCUUCAGAGAGGAGAUCGGCCGUCCGAAAGAGGAGGGAUGUAGAAAGGUCCUGUGUGAAACAGGAGAAAGGUCAGCUAAAAGGUACACCUGAAUGUUGCCUUCCCACUGACGCUCUGACCCAGGAGCCUCCUGACCUUCUCACCUCCAGGCCUGUGCUUUAAAGGCUCGCUGAAUAAUCUGUGAUGUCAGGAUACGUUAAGAAGAAACCAAUGGAGCAAAUGAUCAAAUCCAAACAGAAAAUGAGAGUUGGAUAGAGUUGCAAUAAGGAGACCUCAUUAAUGCAGAGACACUAACUUGCCCUCACU